rnacentral:tRNA from 3 species
GGCGGACGUAGCCAAGUGGAUUA